UUACCUUUUAAGUUAAAAAUUGGAAGAUAGAAGGAGAUAGCAAGAGAGGCAGAGGAGAGAGCGCCCCUCUGGAGUCCACAUUUGGAGUACGUGAAGAUUUUGCCAUUUUCGCUUUUGGAAAUGUCACAUCGAAGAGGAAGAGUACAAAUAGUGUCUCCAGAAGAUGAGUUGGACAAUCUACAACAACUCUUAGACAUACAACCUGCUGCAGCUACUACUCCUAAUAGUUCUGAUCCUUCUGAUCCUUCUGAUUCUUCAGAUCCUUCUGUUGUUGGUUCAUUUUCUAGCAAAAAGAGGACACGUGGCCCAACACGUAACUUAGAUUUACUUAGUAUGAAACCCGGGGAAAAAAAAACUACACGAUUAAAUACCAGAGGGCAAGUUGUUUAUGAUGGAAAAGGGGAAAGAUUGUCAAGCUAUAUGGGAACAUUGGUGCGAUCUCAACACAAUGUACCCAUCCAAGUUCAAGAUUGGAAUCAUGUCAGUGAAGAUGUGAAGGAAAAGAUUUGGGCCUUAGUAUUGG